rnacentral:rRNA from 15 species
UGCAAGUCUCAGUACGAGCUGUAUUAAAGUGAAACCGCAAAAGGCUCAGUAAACCGGUCAUAGUUUACCGGAUAUAUGCCACUUAGGUGGAUAACUGUGGUAAUUCUAGAGCUAAUACAUGCAACCAAGUCCCGACCAGCGAUGGAAAGGACGCUUUUAUUGGAUCAAAACCAUUCGCCCCGGUCCGCCGGGGCGUCUGCUUGAUGACUCUAGAUAACACCACAGAUCGCACGGUCACAGUACCGGCGACGUAUCCGUCAAAUGUCUGACUUAUCAGCUGUCGAUGGUAGACUCUGUGUCUACCAUGGCGCUCACGGGUAACGGGGAAUCAGGGUUCGAUUCCGGAGAGGGAGCCUGAGAAACGGCUACCACAUCCAAGGAAGGCAGCAGGCACGCAAAUUACCCACUCCCGGCACGGGGAGGUAGUGACAAAAAAUAACGAUACGGGACUCAUCCGAGGCCCCGUAAUCGGAAUGAGAACACCCUAAAUCCUUUAACGAGGAUCUAUUGGAGGGCAAGUCUGGUGCCAGCAGCCGCGGUAAUUCCAGCUCCAAUAGCGUAUAUUAAAGUUGUUGCGGUUAAAAAGCUCGUAGUUGGUUCUGCGUGCCACGCUGUCGGUUCACCGCCUGUCGGUGCAACUGGCAUGCCGUGGCAUGUCCUGUCGGUGGCCGACAGGCUUCGCGGCGCGCCCUAUUCGUUCACACGUGUAGGUCGUCGCGCCGAGUUGUCCUCGUAGGCCGGCUCAAUCCUACCGCGGUGCUCUUUACCGAGUGUCGAGGUAGGCCGACACUGUUUACUUUGAACAAAUUAGAGUGCUUAAAGCAGGCUCUGAAAGCAGCCUGAAUAGUGGUGCAUGGAAUAAUGGAACAGGACCUUGGUUCUAUUUUGUUGGUUUUCUGAAUCCAAGGUAAUGAUCAAUAAGGACAGGCGGGGGCAUUCGUAUUGCGACGUUAGAGGUGAAAUUCUUGGAUCGUCGCAAGACGCACUAGAGCGAAAGCAUUUGCCAAGUAUGUCUUAAUUGAUCAAGAACGAAAGUUAGAGGUUCGAAGGCGAUCAGAUACCGCCCUAGUUCUAACCAUAAACGAUGCCAGCCAGCGAUCCGCCGAUGUUCCUCCGAUGACUCGGCGGGGAGCUUUCCCCGGGAAACCAAAGCUUUUGGGUUCCGGGGGAAGUAUGGUUGCAAAGCUGAAACUUAAAGGAAUUGACGGAAGGGCACCACCAGGAGUGGAGCCUGCGGCUUAAUUUGACUCAACACGGGAAACCUCACCAGGCCCGGACAUUGGAAGGAUUGACAGAUCGAUAGCUCUUUCUCGAUUCAGUGGGUAGUGGUGCAUGGCCGUUCUUAGUUGGUGGACUGAUUUGUCUGGUUAAUUCCGAUAACGAACGAGACUCUGACCUAUUAACUAGGCGCUCCCGGUAUAAAUGCCUACCGGCGAGAUU